AGAGAUGCACUGGGUGUAAAGGGUGCGCAGGCGGUUUUGUAAGACAGAGGUGAAAUCCCCGGGCUCAACCUGGGAACUGCCUUUGUGACUGCAAGGCGUGGGGUGCGGCAGAGGGGGAUGGAAUUCCGCGUGUAGCAGUGAAAUGCGUAGAUAUGCGGAGGAACACCGAUGGCGAAGGCAAUCCCCUGGGCCUGCACUGACGCUCAUGCACGAAAGCGUGGGGAGCAAACA
rnacentral:rRNA from 1 species